rnacentral:rRNA from 1 species
UACGUAGGGCGCAAGCGUUGUCCGGAAUUAUUGGGCGUAAAGCGCACGUAGGCGGAUACUUAAGUUAGGGGUGAAAUCCCAGCGCUCAACUCUGGAACUGCCUUUAAUACUGGGUAUCUCGAGUCCGGAAGAGGUGAGUGGAAUUCCGAGUGUAGAGGUGAAAUUCGUAGAUAUUCGGAGGAACACCAGUGGCGAAGGCGGCUCACUGGUCCGGUACUGACGCUGAGGUGCGAAAGCGUGGGGAGCAAACAGG